AAGGUACUCCCUCCGUCCGGAAAUACUCGUCGGAGAAAUGCAUAAAAAUGGAUGUAUCUAAAACUAAAAUACGUCUAGAUACAUCCAUUUAUCCGACAAGUAUUUUCGGACGGAGGGAGUAUGUG
rnacentral:pre_miRNA from 1 species